GAUGAACGCUGGCGGCGUGCCUAAUACAUGCAAGUCGAGCGAAUGGAUUAAGAGCUUGCUCUUAUGAAGUUAGCGGCGGACGGGUGAGUAACACGUGGGUAACCUGCCCAUAAGACUGGGAUAACUCCGGGAAACCGGGGCUAAUACCGGAUAACAUUUUGAACCGCAUGGUUCGAAAUUGAAAGGCGGGUUCGGCUGUCACUUAUGGAUGGACCCGCGGCGCAUUGGAUAGUUGGUGAGGUAACGGCUCACCAAGGCAACGAUGCGUAGCCGACCUGAGAGGGUGAUCGGCCACACUGGGACUGAGACACGGCCCAGACUCCUACGGGAGGCAGCAGUAGGGAAUCUUCCGCAAUGGACGAAAGUCUGACGGAGCAACGCCGCGUGAGUGAUGAAGGCUUUCGGGUCGUAAAACUCUGUUGUUAGGGAAGAACAAGUGCUAGUUGAAUAAGCUGGCACCUUGACGGUACCUAACCAGAAAGCCACGGCUAACUACGUGCCAGCCGCCGCGGUAA
rnacentral:rRNA from 1 species